GGACAGGUGGCCGAGUGGUUUAAGGCAGCGGUCUUGAAAACCGCCGUGGGUGAAAGCCCACCGUGGGUUCGAAUCCCACCCUGUCCGCCA
rnacentral:tRNA from 1 species